rnacentral:rRNA from 1 species
ACUCCUACGGGAGGCAGCAGUGGGGAAUCUUGCGCAAUGGGGGAAAGCCUGACGCAGCGACGCCGCGUGAACGAUGAAGGUCUUCGGAUUGUAAAGUUCAAUAAGGAGGGAAAAAUAAGCAGUGAUGUGAUGAUUGUACCUCUCUAAAGCACCGGCUAACUACGUGCCAGCAGCCGCGGUAAU